AUGGUGGCACUCUAAGGAGACUGCCGGUGACAAACCGGAGGAAGGUGGGGAUGACGUCAAGUCAUCAUGGCCCUUACGGCCAGGGCUACACACGUGCUACAAUGGUCGGUACAAAGGGUUGCCAAGCCGCGAGGUGGAGCUAAUCCCAUAAAACCGAUCGUAGUCCGGAUCGCAGUCUGCAACUCGACUGCGUGAAGUCGGAAUCGCUAGUAAUCGUGAAUCAGAAUGUCACGGUGAAUACGUUCCCGGGCCUUGUACACACCGCCCGUCACACCAUGGGAGUGGGUUGCUCCAGAAGUAGCUAGUCUAACCUUCGGGGGGACGGUUACCACGGAGUGAUUCAUGACUGGGG
rnacentral:rRNA from 1 species